ACCCUCGGCCCCCCACGGCGGUUGGUCCGGGCGGGGGAAGGAGAAAGUGAGACUCGGUGUCAUCACCAAUCCAUCGCCAGAAGGGGAGGAAACUGGAAUCCAGCAGCGGCGAGCAGCAGCUGGACGGUAACAUCUGGAAAUGGAAAGCCGACCUCCCCCUCCUCCUCCACCUCCUCCUCCUCCUCCUCCUCCUCCUCCUCCUCCUCUCACCCAGGAUCACUUCCAAAACCACUUGGCCUUCAGCCCCUGCCUCGGCCAGAGGUUUCAUUUUUAACUGAAUAUUUACGAAAGCUGAAAGCGUGCGAGGGGGGUGGGGUGGAAAUAGCGGCUGCUUCUUUUCCAAGGAUUUAUUUAAUGGGGAUGUGUUCAAGGCAAGACCGAAUUCAGAAGGAUAUCGACGUCGUGAUCCAGAAGUCCAGAGCUGAGGACUGCCUGUUUGCAGAAAUCACAGAGAUCAGCAACUCUAGAGUGCGAUGAAGAAGCUUCACUCUGGGAGAACCCCCUUCGUGACCACGGUCUCUUUCCUGCCAGGGCACUGGCAACAGUUUUCCGUUUGUGCCUACUCCACCUGCUGUCUUUGUUGGGUCAGCGAACAUCGCCUCCCUCUACCGCUCAAUCAGCAAAAGGGACCGCCCUUGAGGACCUCACCCGCCGCUCACUCCCCUCCCAACUUCGCGGGCAUCGCCUCCGGUCGCCUCUUCCGAAGGCCUAACGAGCAUGUUAGCUGCGAACGGAGGUGAGGAGGCUCCGCUGACUGACCGGUGCCCACGUCCAGGGCACGCACAAACGCCAUGACUUGGCUUGGCCUCUCUCUUAGUUAUUCACAGCUCAGCCCGAUAGGCACCUCUGGGGCGGCGACGGCAAAGAGGGUGCGCUUAUUAAGUGCAGCUCCACGGGGACUGGCCUCUCUGCACGGCUGUGUACACCUGAGCGAGACGCUCAGUCGCUCUCUAAAGCCGCUUCU
rnacentral:lncRNA from 1 species